GCCUCUAUGGCACAGGGGUAAUGCGUGUCACUCGUAAACUUUCCAGUUGCGAAUGCAAUGACAAGAUCCGCGGUUCGAUUCCGCGUGGAGGCA